AUUGAACGCUGGCGGCAGGCCUAACACAUGCAAGUCGAGCGGAGCGGCGGCCGGGUGAGUAAUGCCUAGGAAUCUGCCUGGUAGUGGGGGAUAACGUCCGGAAACGGGCACUAAUACCGCAUACUAUCAGAUGAGCCUAGGUCGGAUUAGCUAGGUGGUGGGGUAAAGGCCUACCAAGGCGACGAUCCGUAACUGGUCUGAGAGGAGGAUCAGUCAAACUGGAACGGAGAAACGGUCAAGAGUCCGACGGGAGGAAGCAGGGGGGAAUAGUGGACAAUGGGCGAAAGCCUGAUCCAGCCAUGCGUGGGGUGGGAAGAAGGUCUUAGGAUUGUAAAGCACUUUAAGUUGGGAGGCGUUACCAACAGAAUAAGCACCGGCUAACUUCGUGCCAGCAGCCGCGGUAAUAC
rnacentral:rRNA from 1 species